AUUGAACGCUGGCGGAAUGCUUUACACAUGCAAGUCGAACGGCAGCACGGACUUCGGUCUGGUGGCGAGUGGCGAACGGGUGAGUAAUGUAUCGGAACGUGCCCAGUCGUGGGGAUAACGUAGUGAAAAUUACGCUAAUACCGCAUACGAUCUAUGGAUGAAAGCGGGGGAUCGCAAGACCUCGCGCGAUUGGAGCGGCCGAUAUCAGAUUAGGUAGUUGGUGGGGUAAAGGCCCACCAAGCCAACGAUCUGUAGCUGGUCUGAGAGGACGACCAGCCACACUGGAACUGAGACACGGUCCAGACUCCUACGGGAGGCAGCAGUGGGGAAUUUUGGACAAUGGGCGAAAGCCUGAUCCAGCCAUUCCGCGUGCAGGAUGAAGGCCCUCGGGUUGUAAACUGCUUUUGUACGGAACGAAAAGCCUGGGGCUAAUAUCCCCGGGUCAUGACGGUACCGUAAGAAUAAGCACCGGCUAACUACGUGCCAGCAGCCGCAGUAA
rnacentral:rRNA from 1 species